GGAAUCUUCUAUCACUGGGUAGGAAAUUGAGAGUUUGAAGUUUAAGACUGAAAUCACUAACGAGAAGCCUGGGUGGUUAUUGAUACCCCUCCCACCCCACCUCCACCCUUUCCUUCACCACCACCCUGGGGCAAAGAAAGAUGGAGAACCUCCUGCUAAUUUUCAACUGCACUUUGCUCUCUGUUAUGUAGUAUUUCAGUGACAGGAUCUACUCAGGAGAAUUGGGGCAAGGCUGGCUGAGGUUCUCAAGGAGCUGAAUUUUGGGUUCAGGUGCCUGCGUGGCAGUGGAAUGAUGCUUCCUGACCUUUCAGACUUUGAGACCUCUGGGCGGUCUUAGACUUCACCUGGAGCCUCCUGUCCAGGAUGCGACCACCUAGGGAAAUUCCAGGGAAAGGUGGCAGAGAUAUCAUGGACUGAAAGGUGAUGGGUACCCCAAUGAGUUCACUACAAGAUCUCAAAGAUUCCAAGCCAUUGGCUGCUCCAAAGCAUAAAGCCACCCUUCUGGAGAGGCGGCAGGAAGGAAGCCUGGAGGAGGCUCCGCUGUUGGCCAGAGGAAGACCACCUUCUCAGGUGUCUGGGGGAACCGCUGAAGGACAGUGAGGGAGAUGUCGCUGGUCCCCAGGACAGAAACACAGCAGCUGGAACCAAGAAGCACUCAGAGUGGGACUCGAGCCCAGCACCCCUUCAGACUGAAGCUCUCUGAGAUACAUGUGCUUCCUGAUUGGACUGUUUUUGCUUUUCCAUCACCUGCAUAACACAGUUCUGGAUACUUUGGAAUGGUUGGCUUUCUUUCCUUUUUUAUCCUUCCCCCACCUCUACCCCCACCCCUGUCUUGUCUUUUUCUUCUCUUGGCCCUGAGAACUGUAAGAAGAGAAUUGCUUUGGAAAGUAUAAUUCUGUUGCUGAAAUUUGCCUUGUUUAUGAACAAAUUCUUUCCCUGAGGAUUUUCUGAAUUGCAAUCCCAGGUUACUUGGUAAAUGGGGCUGCAUGAUUUGAUUUGUGUAGUACUGAUCCUUAGAUUAAAAAUACAUUUUCUUUCUUUCUUUUUUCCCCCCAAGUUUUGGAUCCAGGUAAUGGCCCGAGUCACAUUUGCUUAGCUACUGAAGCGAUCUCAAUGUGGUAUCGCUUGGAGUUGAAACAUAAUCAAACAUACAUUAUACCUGGGGCUCUUGCAUGCUAUUUGAUAUAUAUGUUACACUACAAAGAAACACAAACCUUGUAGGUUGAAAUUUAAUUCCUGUCUGAUCCUAUAGUUAGAAUGGUGAGAAAUCACAAAAUAUCAAAAGUGGCUUCAAAUACCCUGAAUGUAAGCUAACCAACAAUAAAUGGACAGUUUGGAAAUGCCA
rnacentral:lncRNA from 1 species